UGAAAAUCCAGUGGAGGAAGCCAAAAGGAAAAAGCAGUUAGGACAGGCUGAAAUUGGGUCUUCAAAACCAGAUUUGGAAAAAUCACACUUCACAAGAGAUCCAUCCCAGCUUAAAGGUGUCCUUGUUCGAGCAUCACUGAAAAAAAGCACAAUGGGAUUUGGUUUUACUAUUAUUGGCGGAGAUAGACCUGACGAGUUCCUACAAGUGAAAAAUGUGCUGAAAGAUGGUCCCGCAGCUCAGGAUGGGAAAAUUGCA
rnacentral:lncRNA from 1 species